rnacentral:rRNA from 1 species
CCUGGUUGAUCCUGCUAGUAGUCAUAUGCUUGUCUGAAAGAUAGCCAUGCAUGACUAAGUAUGAACUAAUUCAGACUGUGAAAUUGCGGAUGGCUCAUUAAAUCAGUAAUAGUUUUUUUUAUGGUACCAUACUACUCAGAUAACUGUAGUAAUAAUUCUAGAGCUAAUAUGUGCACCAAGUCUCGACUCUUUGGAAGGGAUGCAUUUUUUAGAUAAAAGGAUGGUGUGGGCUUGCCCGCUUCUCCGGUGAAUCAUGAUAACUUGAUAGAUUGCACAACCCUUGUUCUGGCGAUGCUUCAUUCAAAUUUCUGCCCUAUCAACUUUCAAUGGUAGGAUAGAGGCCUACCAUGGUGGUGACGAGUGAUGGAGAAUUAGGGUUUGAUUCCAGAGAGGGAGCCUGGGAAAUGGCUGCCACAUCAAAGGAAGGCAGAAGGCACUCAAAUUACCCAAUCCUGACAUGGGGAGGUAGUGACAAUAAAUAACAAUACUUGGCUCAUUAAGUUUGGUAAUUGGAAUGAGUACAAUCUAAAUCCCUUAACAAGGAUCCAUUGGAGGGAAAGUUUGGUUCCAACAGCCAUGGUAAUUCCAUAUCCAAUAGCGUAUAUUUAAUUUGUUGUAGUUAUAAAUCUUGUAGUUGGAUCUUGGGUCGGUCUGCCUACUCGAUGUGCACUUGCCCUUCUAUCCCUUUUGUCAACGGCGUGCUCCUAGAGUUAAUUGAAUGGGUCGCGGCUCCAGUGCUAUUACAUUGAAAAAAUUAGAGUGCUCAAAGCAAUCUUAUGCUCUGAAUACAUUAGUAUGGAAUAACGUGAUAGGAGUCUGGUCCUAUUGUGUUGGCCUUCGGGACCAGAGUAAUGAUUAAUAGGGACUAUCAGGGGCAUUCGUAUUUCAUUGUCAGAGGUGAAAUUCUUGGAUUUAUGAAAGAUGGACCACUGCAAAAGCAUUUUCCAAGGAUGUUUUCAUUAAUCAAGAAUGAAAGUUGGGGGCUCAAAGAUGAUCAAAUACAAUCCUAGUCUCAACCAUAAAUGAUGUUGACCAGGGAUCGGUGGAUGUUGCUCUAAGGACUUCGCUAGCACCUUUAGAGAAAUCAGUGUUUAGGUUCCCAGGGGAGUAUGGUCGCAAGGCUGAAAAUUAAAGGAAUUGACAGAAGGGCACCACUAGGAGUGGGGCCUACGGCUUAAUUUGACCCAACACUGGGAAACUUACCGGGUCCAGACAUAGUAAGGAUUGACAAAUUGAGAGCUCUUUCUUGAUUCUAUGGGUGGUCGUGCAUGGUUGUUCUUAGUUGGUGGAGCGAUUUGUCUGGUUAAUUCAGGUAAUGAACGAGACCUCAUCUUGCUAACUAGCUACAUGGAGGUUCUCCUUCGUGGCCAACUUCUUAUAGAGACUAUGGCCAUUUAGGCCAUGGAAGUUUGAGGCAAUAAUAGGUCUAUGAUGCCCUUAUAUGUUUUGGGCCGCACGCGUGCUACACUGAUGCAGCCAACAAGUUUUUCUUCAUGGUUCGAGAGGAUCGGGAAAUCUUCUCAAAGUGCAUCAUGAUGGGGAUAGACCAUUGCAAUUAUUAGUCUUCAACGAGGAAUUCAUAGUAAGCGCAUGUCAUCAACUUGUGUUGACUACGUCACUGCCCUUUGUACACACCGCUCAUCGCUCCUACCAAUUGAAUCAUCUAGUGAAGUGUUCGGAUUGCGUCGAUGAUGGUGGUUUGCUGCCAUUGACGUCAUGAGAAGUGCAUUUAACCUUAUCAUUUAGAGGAAGGAGAAGUCGUAACAAGGUUACUGUAGGUGAACCUGUAGUAG